rnacentral:siRNA from 1 species
CUAUCCAUAUUUGGCACACCU